UUGCUCCUUGAGCUACAGACGCACGGAGUGGCAGGCAAGACAUGAUUCAAGCAAUUCCCCGCAGUAACAUGAGUAUAGACGCACCUAGGGUGGCUGUGGCGUACAUCGUGAUCUCUCUAACUAAAGUGGGGGAUAUUGAGGGGAUAAAUUUUCUUAUUGGAACUUCGGCAAAAUCUCACACUGGCCCACCAGGGCAUAUUGGAACACGGGCCUCGACCGUGUUUACCAAAAACAUAUCCCUGGGGUAAUAUGAAGAUAUAUGUAUAGAGGGUGAUGCCUUCAGUCAAUGGUUGUAUCUAAAAAGCGGUUGAUUAAAUUUGACCUCGUAAGGGCAAUUGAAUGGCCGCGGUUACACUUUACCGUGGUAAUGUAGCGAGUAAUCAAUUUCCAACUUAAUUGUUGGGCGGUGUGAAUGGCGUCACUUGAAGGCACCCGGUGUCUUACGGAAAUUCUCAGUGAAAUUGAAUUCUUAGUGAGGUUGCUAGGUCACAGUUUGUUAGACGAAAAGACCCCGUUCGAGCUUUAGCUGGCGCACUUACAUUUUCCCGGCCUUCCCAUGCCUGGGAACCGGCCGAAUUUAAAUGGGCGGCUUAGAAUUAUGUGGCAGCCCCCCGGUGGGGCAAAUGAAACACCACUCCCCCCUGUCUGUAGGGGCUAACCCCCCCCCUUGGGGGGACAGUGUAAGUAGGACAGUUUGGUUGGGGCGACCACCUUUUAAAAAGUAACGAAGGUGCGCUUAAGGUGCGCAAUUAAUGACUGAAGCCUGACUGCGAGGGGGACACCCCGAGCAGACACCCCAAAGCCCGCCCGAAAGGCGGCGGUGGGGUGGGCCAUAGUGACCCGUUAAUUUAGAGUGGAAUAGUUAACGAUCAUCGAAUAAAAGUUUUCCACGGGGAUAACAGUGUAAUAUUGUUAGAGAGUUUGUAUGUGCCUGACGAUGUUUGCGACCAUCAAGGCAUGGUGAAUUGCUGCAUCCUGGGGUGCAGGCGCUCCAAGGUUGGCUGGUUCGAGCA
rnacentral:rRNA from 1 species